rnacentral:rRNA from 1 species
CUCCUGCAGCGUCGUUACCUAGAGUUGUAGGCUUUGCCUGCUAUCUCUUACCCAUGUCUUUUAAGUACCUUACGUUUCCUCGGCGGGUCCGCCCGCCGAUUGGACAAUUUAAACCAUUUGCAGUUGCAAUCAGCGUCUGAAAAAACUUAAUAGUUACAACUUUCAACAACGGAUCUCUUGGUUCUGGCAUCGAUGAAGAACGCAGCGAAAUGCGAUAAGUAGUGUGAAUUGCAGAAUUCAGUGAAUCAUCGAAUCUUUGAACGCACAUUGCGCCCCUUGGUAUUCCAUGGGGCAUGCCUGUUCGAGCGUCAUUUGUACCUUCAAGCUCUGCUUGGUGUUGGGUGUUUGUCUCGCCUCUGCGUGUAGACUCGCCUCAAAACAAUUGGCAGCCGGCGUAUUGAUUUCGGAGCGCAGUACAUCUCGCGCUUUGCACUCAUAACGACGACGUCCAAAAGUACAUUUUUACACUCUUGACCUCGGAUCAGGUAGGGAUACCCGCUGAACUUAAGCAUAUCAAUAAGCGGAGGAA